CCUACGGGAGGCAGCAGUGAGGAAUAUUGGUCAAUGGUCGGGAGACUGAACCAGCAAAGCCGCGUGAGGGAUGAAGGUACAGAGUAUCGUAACCCUCUUUUGUCAGGGACCAAAGGCGGGGCCGCGUCCCCGGAGGAGUGUACCUGAAGAAAAGGCAUCGGCUACCUCCGUGCCAGCAGCGCCGGUAAUACGGGGGAGGCGAGCGUUAUCCGGAUUUAUUGGGUUUAAGGGGUGCGCAGGCGGGCUGUUAAGUCGGCGGUCAAAGCCCGGGGCUCAACCCCGGCCCGCCGUUGAAACUGGGAGCCUCGAGUUGGAGGGAAGUAUGCGGAAUGCGCGGUGUAGCGGUGAAAUGCAUAGAUAUCGCGCAGAACUCCGAUUGCGAAGGCAGCAUGCCGGCUCCACACUGACGCUGAGGCACGAAAGCGUGGGUAUCGAACAGGAUUAGAUACCCUAGUAGUC
rnacentral:rRNA from 1 species